AAUUAUCAACUCUCUUACUUUAUUGUGAGAUGAGCUUGGACUUGGGGAUUGCUGGUGUAAAUCAGCUUCUCUUGAAUGCAUUAGCUGGAAUUUAGUUCGCAGCAUAUAUGCGGUGUGAUAAUGUCGUCACUGUGUAGCUCGAAUUGUCUGGCUUCUAAUCGUCCUUCACGGGACAAUUUGAUCA
rnacentral:misc_RNA from 1 species